GAUGAAGAACGUAUCGAAAUGCGAUAAGUAGUGUGAAUUGCAGAAUUCAGUGAAUCAUCGAAUCUUUGAACGCACAUUGCGCCCUUUGGUAUUCCUUAGGGCAUGCCUGUUCGAGCGUCAUUUAAACCUUCAAGCUCAGCUUGGUGAUGGGCGACUGUCCCCCCCCCCUCGCGGGGGGGACUCGCCUCAAAAACAUUGGCGGCCGGUACAUUGGCUUCGAGCGCAGCAGAAACGCGGUCUCGAGCCCGGUGGAUCGGCUCCCAUAAGCCUAUUCUUUUAUUUUGACCUCGGAUCAGGUAGGGAUACCCGCUGAACUUAAGCAUAUCAAUAAGCGGAGGA
rnacentral:misc_RNA from 1 species